GGAAGGUUGAGAUGGCUGUUAAGGCUGGAAUGCAGUUCCAAGAAGAGAGCUGUUCAAGCUGGACCAUAGUCCACCAGAGGUCUGGAAAGUGGUGACAAGAAUAAAAUCGGUACUUGAAGACAGUUUUGAAAAGGAGAAGGAAGAAAAAAAACAUAUCAUAAUGGUGUUUUAUUGCCACUCAAAUGAAGAAAGGAAAAGUCAAAAGAAGGAGAAUGCAGAGGGUUAUGAAGAAUUUCUUAUUCCAAAUGAUGCCAUUGUCUCAUCUGGGUCGGGCCCAGUGGCAGAAUGUUCUGCAUCCUCUCCCCAAAAUUGAGAGCAGUAGUUAUUUUGUUUUUUGUAAUGAGAUCAAAUAGUAUACCAUCAUAUGAGAAUGUUUGGGCAUUUUUGAAUCAAAUGUAAUAAAAAUAUUAAGUGAAAAUUA
rnacentral:lncRNA from 1 species